UAGGGAAUCUUCGGCAAUGGACGAAAGUCUGACCGAGCAACGCCGCGUGAGUGAAGAAGGUUUUCGGAUCGUAAAACCCUGUUGGUAGAGAAGAACGUUGGUGAGAGUGGAAAGCUCAUCAAGUGACGGUAACUACCCAGAAAGGGACGGCUAACUACGUGCCAC
rnacentral:rRNA from 1 species